rnacentral:rRNA from 1 species
UACAGAGGUCCCAAGCGUUGUUCGGAUUCACUGGGCGUAAAGGGUGCGUAGGUGGCCGUGGAAGUUCGGUGUGAAAGCUCGGAGCUCAACUCCGAAAAGUCAUUGAAUACUCUACGGCUUGAGGGUCGGAGGGGAGACUGGAAUUCUCGGUGUAGCAGUGAAAUGCGUAGAUAUCGAGAGGAACACCAGUGGCGAAGGCGAGUCUCUGGACGACCCCUGACACUGAGGCACGAAAGCUAGGGGAGCAAACAGG